AUAUGUUCUGGGACGGA
rnacentral:tRNA from 1 species